rnacentral:tRNA from 1 species
ACUAUUUUGGCAGAUUAGUGCAAUAGAUUUAGAAUCUAUUAAUAUGAUUUUAAUCAUAUGUAGUA